AAUAAGUGCAGUUUUGUAUUAUUCACGUUCAACGUUUGACCACUUCGUCUUAUUGACCACUCGUCUUAUUUAAAAUUUUUUUAUGAUUAGUAUUUUUAUUGCUAUUAGAUGAUAAAACAUGAAUAGUAUUUUAUGUGUGACUAAAUAUUUUCAAUUUUUUCACAAAUUUUUCAAAUAAGACGGACGGUCAAACGUUGGACACAGAUAUCUACGGCUGCAUUUAUU
rfam:Oryza rufipogon genomic scaffold, chr05